GGAGGAAUGGUCGAGUGGUUGAAGGCACCGGUCUUGAAAACCGGCGA
rnacentral:tRNA from 1 species